GAUGAACGCUAGCGGCAGGCCUAAUACAUGCAAGUCGAACGGUGUCUUCGGACAUAGUGGCGCACGGGUGCGUAACACGUAUGCAACCUACCUUACAUUGGGGGAUAGCCUUUCGAAAGGGAGAUUAAUACCGCAUAAGACAGUAGCUGGGCAUCCAGCAGCUGUUAAAGAUUUAUCGAUGUAAGCUGGGCAUGCGUCCAAUUAGCUAGUUGGUGAGGUAACGGCUCACCAAGGCAAUGAUUGGUAGGGGAACUGAGAGGUCAAUCCCCCACACUGGCAGUGAAAUGGGGGCAAGACUCCUACGGGAGGCAGAAGUAGGAAAUAUGGGGCAAUGGGCGAAAGUCUGACCCAGCCAUGCCGCGUGAAGGAUGAAGGCGUUAUGCGUUGUAAACUGUUUUUAUACAGGAAAAAACGACUCUUGCGAGGGGCAUUGACGGUACUGUAUGAAUAAGCCCCGGCUAACUCCGUGCCAGCCGCCGCAGUAAUAC
rnacentral:rRNA from 1 species